GAGGGUGUAACUCAGAGGUAGAGCACCUGCUUAGCAUGCACGAGGUUCUGGGUUCAAUCCCCAGUCCCUCC
rnacentral:tRNA from 1 species